rnacentral:rRNA from 1 species
CCAUUUGACCUCAAAUCAGGUAGGACUACCCGCUGAACUUAAGCAUAUCAAUAAGCGGAGGAAAAGAAACUAACAAGGAUUCCCCUAGUAACUGCGAGUGAAGCGGGAAAAGCUCAAAUUUAAAAUCUGGUAGUCUCUGGCUGCCCGAGUUGUAAUCUGGAGAAGUGUUUUCUGUGCUGGGCCGUGUACAAGUCUCUUGGAAUAGAGCGUCAUAGAGGGUGAGAAUCCCGUCUUUGACACGGACAUCCAGUGCUCUGUGAUGCACUCUCAAAGAGUCGAGUUGUUUGGGAAUGCAGCUCAAAAUGGGUGGUAAAUUCCAUCUAAAGCUAAAUAUUGGCAAGAGACCGAUAGCGAACAAGUACCGUGAGGGAAAGAUGAAAAGAACUUUGGAAAGAGAGUUAAACAGUACGUGAAAUUGUUGAAAGGGAAACGCUUGAAGUCAGUCGCGUCUAGCAAGGAUCAGCCUUUCUCGGAAGGUGUAUUUCUUGCUUGACGGGUCAACAUCAAUUUUGAYUACUGGAAAAAGGCCAGAGGAAGGUGGCACCUUCGGGUGUGUUAUAGCCUUUGGUCAUAUACAGUAGUUGGGAUUGAGGAAUUCAGCAUGCCUUCAUGGCUGGGGUUCGCCCACAUUCAUGCUUAGGAUGUUGGCAUAAUGGCUUUAA